rnacentral:rRNA from 1 species
CGAACGCUGGCGGCAUGCCUAACACAUGCAAGUCGCACGAGACCUUCGGGUCUAGUGGCGCCCGGGUGCGUAACGCGUGGGAACCUGCCCUUAGGUUCGGAAUAACUCCCCGAAAGGGGUGCUAAUACCGGAUAAUGUCUUCGGACCAAAGAUUUAUCGCCUUUGGAUGGGCCCGCGUUGGAUUAGCUAGUUGGUAGGGUAAAAGCCUACCAAGGCGACGAUCCAUAGCUGGUCUGAGAGGAUGAUCAGCCACACUGGGACUGAGACACGGCCCAGACUCCUACGGGAGGCAGCAGUGGGGAAUAUUGGACAAUGGGCGAAAGCCUGAUCCAGCAAUGCCGCGUGAGUGAUGAAGGCCUUAGGGUUGUAAAGCUCUUUUACCCGGGAUGAUAAUGACAGUACCGGGAGAAUAAGCUCCGGCUAACUCCGUG